rnacentral:lncRNA from 1 species
GGGUCACCCUUGUUUUCUAUGGGGCGCACAUUUUCUAUGGGGCACACCCCUGUUUUCAAUGGGGCGCACCCUUGUUUCUAUGGGGCACAAAUUUUCUAUAGGGCACUCCCUUGUUUUCCAUGGGGCGCUCCCUCGUUUUCUAUGGGGCGCACCCUUAUUGCUAUGGGGCACACCCUUGUUUUCUAUGGGGCGCACCCUUGUUGCUAUGGGGCGCACCCUUGUUGCUAUGGGGCACACCCUUGUUUUCUAUGGGGCGCUCCCUUGUUUUCUAUGGAGUGCACAUUUUGCUAUGGGGCACACAUUUUCUAUGGGGCACCCUUGUUUUCUAUGGGGCGCACCCUUGUUUUCUAUGGGGCACAGAUUUUCUAUGGGGCGCACCCCAGUUUUCUAUGGGGCGCACCCCUCUUUUCUAUGGGGCGCUCCCUUGUUUUCUAUGGGGCGCUCUCUUGUUGCUAUGGGGCGCACAUUUCUUUCUAUGGGGUGCACCCACAUUUUCUAUGGGGCACACAUUUUCUAUGGGGCGCACAUUUCGCUAUGGGGCACACCCUUCUUUUCUAUGGGGCGCACCCUUGUUUUCUAUGGGGCGCUCAAUUUCUAUGGGGCACAACCUUGUUCUCUACGGGGCUCACCCUUGUUGCUAUGGGGCGCACCCUUGUUUUCUAUGGGGCACACAUUUCGCUAUGGGGCGCAGUCUUGUUUUCUAUGGGGCACUCCCUUGUUUUCUAUGGGGUGCUCCCUUGUCUUCUAUGGGGCACACAUUUCCUAUGGGUCACACCAUUGUUUUCUAUGGGGCGGACAUUUUCUAUGGGGCACACAUUUCGCUAUGGGGCGCAGUCUUGUUUUCUAUGGGGCGCACCCUCGUUUUCUAUGGGGCGCACCCUUGUUUUCUAUGGGGUGCUCCCUUGUUUUCUAUGGGGCGCACCCCUGUUUUCUAUGGGGCACAAAUUUCGCUAUGGGGCGCACCCUUGUUUUCUAUGGGGCACUCUCCUGUUUUCCAUGGGGCGCACUCUUCAUUUCUCUUGUUUUCUAUGGGGCGGACCCAUGUUUUCUAAGGGUCCCACCCCUGUUUUCUAUGGGGCGCACCCUCGUUCUCUAUGGGGCACACCCUUGUUUUCUAUGUGUCGCUCCCUUUUUUUCUGUGGGGCACAGAUCUGCUAUGGGGCUCACCCUUGUUUUCUAUGGGGCACACAUUUUGCUAUGGGGUGCACAUUUCUAUCUAUGGGGCACACCACUGUUUUCUAUGGGGUGCACCCCACUUUUCUAUGGGGCGCACCCUCGUUUUCUAUGGGGCACAUUUCGCUAUGGGGCGCACCCUCGUUUUCUAUGGGGCGCACCUAUGUUUCCUAUGGGGCGCUCCCUCGUUUUCUAUGGGGCGCACAUUUUGCUAUGGGGUGCACCCUUGUUUUCUAUGGGGCACCCUUGAUUUCUAUGGGGCUCACCCCACUAUUCUAUGGGGCGCUCUCCUGUUUUCUAUGGGGCGCUCCCCUGUUUUCUAUGGGGCGCUCCCUCAUUUUCUAUGGGGUGCACCCUUGUUUUCUAUGGGGCGCACAUUUCCUAUGGGGCGACCCUUGUUUUCUAUGGGGCGCACCCUCGUUGUAUAUGGGGUGCACCCUCGUUUUCUAUGGGGCACACCCCUGUUUUCAGUGGGGCGCACAUUUCUUUCUAUGGGUCCCACCCUUAUUUUCUAUGGGGCGCAGUGGAGGCUGUAGUACCGGCAGCGGCCGCUAGGUGGCAGCAGAGAGCGCUGAGUCCAACGCUUCCUUUGGUUUCGGCGGCGCAGGCAACGCCUGCAAUUAAUUAAUGGCUGCAGCCAAUUAAGCGCGGCGGCUGUUUUAAUUACUCCGGCCAAGAUAAUGAGCGCGCCCGGCGGACGCGUGAUGAGGAGCGUCCGAGACCCGAGAGGAGGCGGCACUUCCCCUACUGGCCGCUAUGGGGCAGCAGAGAGAGCGAGAGAAUGAUGCUAUGGGGCAGCGCUAGGGGGCAGUGCUAUGGGGUGAUGCUAUGGGGCAGAGCUAUGGGGCAGAGCUAUGGGGUGAUUCUAUGGGGCAGCGCUAUGGGGUGAUGCUAUGGGGUGAUGCUAUGGGGCAGAGCUAUGGGGCAGAGCUAUGGGGUGAUUCUANNNNNNNNNNNNNNNNNNNNNNNNNNNNNNNNNNNNNNNNNNNNNNNNNNNNNNNNNNNNNNNNNNNNNNNNNNNNNNNNNNNNNNNNNNNNNNNNNNNNNNNNNNNNN